rnacentral:rRNA from 1 species
UGUUGAGAUCAUACCUCUCUGAACAUACCCUAUCUCCUCUGAGUUCGGAUGCUAAGCAUGGAGGGGCUAUAUUAUUAUGAAUGGUAAAAAUCUGAGUUGGAAAGUAUCAGAGAAA